GGUUGCAAAUUGUCGGAAAUUAGGGAGAUUUCCGGGCGUUUACGGGGACGAAAAUCUCACUUUUCAUGCAGUGUCGUCCCUCAACUCCUCUCUCAAUCCCCGGAGAAAAACCCCCUGCAACGCUUUUUCAUCCCACCCGGCCUGAAGCGCUAGAAUCCGGAAAUUCACUGAGUGCUUAGCUACGGAGUCUCCUCCCUGCCGUAGCAACAGAAGCCGGCUGCUAGCCUCCUUGCUACGCAGCGGGUGGUCAAACACUUUAAGAAACUCCUCGGAGAAGGAGGAAAAGGAAAAACAAACCGGGGACUGGCUAAACGAGAGCGCUACAGCCCAAGCCGCGGCUUUCUCCGACAGGAGACUCAUAACAAACGCUACCCGCGAUUUGUCGGUAGCGUAAGUGAGGGGCUGUUGUUCAAAAACAAGAUUAAAUUGAAAAGGAAAACGAAGAAGAGCUCGGCGGAGCCGCUGGGGGUGGUGGAGCAAGAUCCGGGACAGGAGCUGGAGCGGGAGACGAAGCAGUCAGCGUGGAGAGAGGGAUUCUCAAAGACUCAAAGAUGGCCCGCCAGCCGCCGAAAGGACUGAAAAGCUUGGUCGAGUGUAUGGCCAGAGCUACAAUCUCCGCACAUCCUGCCGACAUGCCAGACUUUUUAGUGGAGUAUACGUCAGAGCUCAACCAAACAAGAGGCUCUAAAACUGAAAGCAAUCCAGUGGAAAUGUGCUUUCGAUUCCAAGAGGCUCGUGAUUCGGAAUCUGCAAUCAAUGAACAUGCACCAUCAACUGGGGUUAAAGAAAAGAAGCCUGUACCUUUUACCCCUGCUGUUGCCAAGAAGACACCGGAAACACACACACAGAAAACAACACCACGAAAGUUAUCACUUAAAGCUCCAGCAGAUGUGCCCCCGAAAUCCAGGAAGAAUCUACCAAUCGGCACGAGGGGGAAGCCACAAAAUGCCAGCAGCGUGUUACCACAAAAACCUAAAGAACGCAGUGAACCAACGUCAGCAAGAACAGAAAGACCAAAGGAAGAAAGAAAAAUAAUACCCAAGACAAGACCACCAUGUUACCACCAGCUACAAGUCAAAAGCAAGGUAAAGGAACCAUUGAUGACGCCAAGAAGACACCAGAAAAGCGUCUACCGACAAUUCCCCAAAAGUCAGCACCUAAAGAUCCAGCUGUCAAUCCCCCUUCUAGACGCCCAACUACGCGUGUACAAGCAGCACCACAAACGAGUGUUUUACCACCGAUUCCACCAAUUCCACAGAAGAAAGGCACAGGUAGCCAACAGCAGACAACUAUUCCAAAGAAAUCUGUGCCAAAGUGGGAUGACUCAGUAACAUUGCCCGUUAUUAAAGGAUUGAGGAAACCAGCUAUUCCAAGAGACAGCAGAAACGACCACACGUGUUGCUUUCCUCACCUUAAGGAUAAGGUGAACAGCGUUGGACGAUCAGUGGAGCCCCCUCCAUAUAAUGUUGUUUGUUUGUUUGUUAGAUAAAUAAAUAAAAAAU